ensembl:lncRNA
GCCCACAUGCCUUCAGCUUUUGUUCCAGAAGGUGGAGGUAAGAGUAAACAAGACUCUCAGCAGGUUUGUCAUCACCUGUCUUCCCCUCUCUUAUGCAACAGAGUCUGGUGACGUCUCAGAGAGAGAGAGUUGGUUCACUAGCCUACAGGCGGCUCAUCCAACAGUAAAGACACAGCGGCCUACCCCGCCCUUAAUAUUACCCAGCGUGUGGCAGCCUGCAUUCUGAAGGCUCAAGCCGUAGACGGAGAAAGAAGAGAAAGGGAGGACGAGGAGUCAUCCACAGGUUGUCUGUCCGUUUCAGAAACAGGCGGUCUAGAGUUUAUAAACUAGUUAACCGUUUAGGCUGACUAAUGAAACACAACACAGAAAAAAAACCGAUAAGCUAAUGACGAAUAGGAGGGAUGGGUUCAGCACAGGGCUGGAGCUGAACCAGGGCGGCGCAGGACUUCUACUGCAUGAGGCAGGAGUUUCAUCACCACCACCACGAGUCAGCACAUUUCCCAAUCCAAUCCUGUCUUCUGCGUCCAUCCACAUUCGCCCACACGAUAUCAACCCUGAAGCGGAGGGCGGUGGCCUCGGUAACGGGAACGCCAGGUAAGAAAUCGUCCACUCAAUCUCAGCCGACACAUUUCAUUCGUCGACGGAGAGGGAAGAAGAGUCAUCAAUUGGUGGCGAGAUCAGAAGUCUGGGGCGGUCUGGGGAAUUGUUUGAAGUUAUAACUCUGUUGGCUCGUGUGUUUCGGAGGUAAUUCACUCUGUAUUUAAAUGUCCUUCAAAUGCAAAACAGUCACAUGAGAUGGGACAGGAAGACAGACUCAGCAUGUAAGGCUCCAUCCGACUGAAGGAGCCAAGUCGGCAUAUAUGCCCACCACAUGCACACCCAUACAAGGACACACACACACACACACACACACACACACACACACACACACACACACACACACACGGCCCUGUUGCUGUGAGAAGCCAUUAUGCAGACGCACAAAGGCAGAAACACAUACUCAGACGCAAGCAAAUGCAUAAACACAAACAUGCGUGAUUAGAAACACGCACGCACGCACGCACUCACAUACAGACAAACACACAGUCCAUGUUCAUGCUGGGUCUAGGAGGUCCUGUUCUGAUGGAGGAAGGGAACAGGAUGGAAAGAGGGGCAUACACAACAACAGCGCGUGACGUCUUUGAGGUCCAUGUUGCCAAGGACUGGCUCCAUCCCUACAAGGACGGAUCCUGACACAAUCUCACCAAGACACGCCCGCUGUUUUACGACCGGCCCACGCACUGUUUAUCCGUGUUCAUGCCACUCACGCCGCAAUAAACCGCUUAAACGCACAUCUGGGAGCAACCAUUAGACACACCAAACGAGAGGUAAACACAACCAACGAAACCCGACAACAACAACAACGCUGCAACACUGAACUCUCAUCAUCCAACUAGUGGCUCGACAAUGGAGCUUCAGUCCACCUGCAAUCCAGGGUCCGACGGCUGAUGCAACCCAAAGCAAGAAGGCAGGCUCUGCUUCGCCACCUGACAACACACGGUUCCCCGCACAGAGCACACGUGGUGGCUGACUUCCCACCGCUUACAGAGGGCAUUCACACGCCAUUGAUGGGAAGCUGUGUGCAGGCCUCCCCGUCUGCUUUCAGUUCUUCAUUUCACGGAUAGUGAGGUUAAUGAAGGCAUAUGAUUAUGCCUCAUGCUAUGACACAUCGUUGUCGUUGCGACAUUGCAGAGCCGAGAGUUCCCUUUGAAGGGAAUCACGUAGUGUUGACAAUUCUUACAUAAUUACAUUUCUGACAGUGCUGUACUUUCCACUAGAAUGUGGUCUGGCGAUCAACCUAAUUUAUUUUUCUGCAUUUGCCUGGAAUAGAGCAAAUAAUACAUGUAUAUGACUACCCUCGCAAAACAAUGCUUUAAACUAAUAAUACUUUACGUUGCUAUUGUUAUUAUUAUGACAAUGCAUAUUUUAAUAUUUACUACUAUUAUUACUUGCACUUGUUAUUGUUGGAUCUUGUUAUUGUUGGAAAAUGCAAGACACAACUGAGUUAUAUGUUUGUCGGCAUAAAGGUCAGGACAUUAGAACCUAAUCGAAUCAGCCGAGAAAAAAAAAAAAAGAGACAGAGAGACAGAGAGACAGAGAGACAGAGAGAGAGAGAGAGAGAGAGAGAGACAGAGACAGAGACAGAGACAGAGAGAGAGAGAGAGAGAGAGAGAGACUAGGAAGACCCGGGAGACAAAGAGAAAGGGGCCUGGUUUGUAUUUUGUUGUUGCUGUUUGGAAGCACUCACAUCUGAACAAUGUCAGACGGCUAUUAUUAACUCUCUGCACUAUGCAGUCGUCCUUUUCCUCUUCAGGAUAUUAUCGAUCCUCAGUCUCUUUCCCUACGUGAGGCUGGGCGUCUCAUGCGGUCCAUGCCCUGAGAUCGUAACACAAUAACACAUGUGGAUCUUCUCAGAAAAAGCACCGCGCUUUUUAGGCCUUGCAGGGAAAGGGGGUCGGGGAGGGAGGUGUUGCUGUAGCGAUGCAUGCCUCUAUCAUGAAAGCAAGUCGAUGUUGGACACCAGUAGGAGUAUGUGGAGAACGGGGCUGGAGGAGGAGGGGCCGCCCGCUGAUGGUGGCGGUGGUCUCCCAGCUGGAGACACACGUGUGCUCUCCAGCUAUGCUCCGGAAAACACCCGCAUUAUGUAACAGGACCGCCUCGCACACAUACAGAUGGUGGAGGGAUGGACGGAUAGACGGACAGACUUGUGCAUCAGGAUUUACAAUGAAUUCACCCAUAAGAAUUCACCCAUUCACACAGCGAGGGGGAUCUCUGUAAUUGUUCAACUCAUCCUGCUUUAAUAGAAGAGAACUCCACAACGAACACUAACACCGUGGAGCAACAGUGUAACAGUACAACUGUGGUUGUCCCUCUCUCCCCCCCCUCCCCGAACAUCACAUCUGGACCCCUGCAAUGCACGCUGUGUUACCCUGCGAGCCUUGAGGACGGGAGACAAAGGCUGGUGGGCCAAAGGGCACCAGUCCAAAGUGUACACAAAGAAUUUGAACAGCUGCUUGGGACAGGAAAUAGGAAGAAAUGUGAGAAUGCAGUACACUGCAAACCAUGUGUCUAACAGUACGGCUAGCAAGGCAUAUCUACUGCCAUGUCUGGGAUAGUGUGUUACACAUCUUCAAAUUCAACUUUAGAAUCUACGCAUAAAUUAAACCCCAGGUUCUUGACUUCCUGUACAUGUGUCUGUCUGUCUGUCUGUCUGUCUGUCUGUCUGUCUGUCUGUCUGUCUGUCUGUCUGUCUGUCUGUCUGUCUGUCUGUCUGUCUGUCAGAGAUGUGUUGCAUUUCAUCAUACUCUUAUCAUUGGAUGAAGAUCGAGAUCAAGUUAAAAAAGCAAAUUCUUCUAUGACAAACGACAAAAGAAGAAGUCAGAAACUAUUCAUUUUGAUUUGGCUUGACCACAACUGUUCGGUCAGUGGGUUUGAGAACUCAAAGAAAAGCCUAUCCGCCAGACACAGGGGUGCUACCGUUGGGGGGGCUAUUUAUAUAAAAUGAGUGGAGUUACCAUUCACAACCCCUAAUUCGUUUUGGUUUUCUAGCAAAGAACCGUGUCACAUGCACGGUCCAGACAUGGUCCUAUCUUUAGACAUCCUGUGUGCUCUCACCCAGCAGGAGAGAGGCAUUGGUAACCCAGUCCAUAGAGAAGGGGUGUGUGUGUGUGUGUGUGUGUGUGUGUGUGUGUGUGUGUGUGUGUGUGUGUGUGUGUGUGUGUGUGUGUGUGUGUGUCUAGCAAUUAAAAUUAGAGUUGUGAAUCCAUCUCAAUUACAAUGGCCCAGUUCGUCACGACGAGACUGGGACCAGCGCAGAGCCACACCGACCGGGUCGUUUACCAAGUAGUCCACAGGGCGCGUGUUAGC